rnacentral:rRNA from 1 species
UACGAAGGGUGCAAGCGUUACUCGGAAUUACUGGGCGUAAAGCGUGCGUAGGUCGGUUUGUUAAGUCUGUUGUGAAAGCCCCGGGCUCAACCUGGGAAUGGCAAUGGAUACUGGCAAGCUAGAGUGCGGUAGAGGGUAGUGGAAUUCCCGGUGUAGCGGUGAAAUGCGUAGAGAUCGGGAGGAACACCAGUGGCGAAGGCGGCUACCUGGACCGAGCACUGACACUGAGGCACGAAAGCGUGGG